AUUAUAGCUCAGACGGUAGAGCACUACAUUGGUAAUGUAGAGGUCGCGGGUUCAAGUCCCGCUAAU
rnacentral:tRNA from 1 species